rnacentral:lncRNA from 1 species
GUAGAUGAUCAUUUUAGAGCGCAUGACAGUUUCAAGUAGGAGGAAAACUAAAGGAAUUUGCAGUUUUAAAUUUUGUUUAUUAAGUUAAUCAAAAAGUCAAUGUCACUAAUAUUAUCAAAACAAAAGUGCUAUCAGAGAAAUUUUUCAGCUUUACGGGAGGACCACGUGACAGUAUGACAUGGUCCUACAUUCUAAUCAAAUAUUGAUACUUAUAGUUUACUAAAGGAAAAUUGCAUCAUCUAUUUUGUCAAAGACAAUUUUUGGUUUGUUGUUGCUUUUUAAAACCUAAACUAUAAACUCUAACCCUUAAACCCUAAACCCUAGUCCAAACUCAACAAAGACCCAUGAAGGUCUUUUCAUAAAAAAUAGAAAACCUUAGUUUAUAUUUUAGUUGUAAUAAAUCCAUGUGUCAAUAUUUGAUUGGAAUGUAGGACCACAUCAUAUUGCCACGUGGUCCGCUUGUAGCAUAUAAAAAUUUCUCGUAAUGGCCAUUGCCAUGUCAUUUUGUAUUCAUUUUUGGUAAAAUUAUUUGGUGUAUGUAGCACUAUACUCAUCUAUAAUAGGUUUUGGUUUUGUAAAAUUUAAUUUCUAACCCACUAUUCAAGUUGAGCUAAAAUAAGAUGAGAAAUUUUAUUAACACAUCCUUAAUUACUAGAUACACAUACCAUACUUAAUACACAAUCUAUUAACUUUAUUGUUUUAACAUUUUACUAAAUACACAUACCCAAAUUUUCUAUAAUACCCUCAUUUAAAAUACAAAACAUAUUCACUAAACACACAACUCAUUCUACUACUCAAUUUAUUAAAAGAAAUGAUUAAUUUUAGUUUACCCCCUGAGGUUUGGGGUUGACAUCGUUCACCCCCCAUACUUUUA